rnacentral:rRNA from 1 species
AUGGCGCUAGCGGCCGGCAGUGAGAGCCGAGAGCCCGAGAAGAUGAGAUCGAUCUAUUCUGCUGGGUUGGUUGAUCUGAAGAAGGAAGCUCUUAGCUUAUCUAAGCUGAUUAAUAACUUUCAAUUGGCUAAGAUUAGUCGGUCGGCGAAUGUGGUGGCUCAUUUCAUAGCAAAGUUUAGUUUUGACAAUAGAUCCGAUGAGUCGCGCGCGAUCGCGAGGUACAUCCUGCGCAAGUAUAGGACGCCGGGGUCGCCGGACCUGCUGGGAGAGAACGGCGGCGCCAAUGGGGCGACAAUGGUGGACGUGUGGACGGAGGUGGAAGCGCAGCAGUACCACCCGGCCAUCUCGCCCGUGGUGUUCGAGUGCAUCAUCUUCCCCGUCAUGCGCGGCGCCGCCACGGACCAGAAGUUCGUCGACGAGAGCCUGGAGCGGCUGAGGGGGGUGCUGGGGACGUACGAGGAGCGGCUGUCCGAGAGCAGGUACCUGGCCGGGGACUCCUUCAGCUUCGCGGACCUCAACCACUUCCCCUUCACCUUCUACUUCAUGGCCACCCCGUACGCGGCCCUCUUCGACGAGUACCCCAGGGUGAAGGCCUGGUGGGAGGACCUCAUGGCCAGACCUUCGGUCAAGAGGGUCUGCGCCAAUAUGCCCACCAAGUUCUAG